rnacentral:misc_RNA from 1 species
UUGAUUCAUUUAUCUUAUACUCGGACUCCACGUUGAAUAUCAUUUGGAUUCCAGUGGCGGGCGCUCCCCAACGUGAGCCGGGGGUGCGCGAGGCACGUCCCGCCAAAGCAACUGAAUGGGUACACAUAGGGUUGGAGUAGGCGCCCAGAGGGCACCGAUACUCUGUAAUGAUCCUUCCGCAGGUUCACCUACGGAAA